rnacentral:rRNA from 1 species
UACAGAGGUCUCAAGCGUUGUUCGGAUUCAUUGGGCGUAAAGGGUGUGUAGGUGGCGCCGUAAGUCGGGUGUGAAAUUUCGGAGCUUAACUCCGAAACUGCAUUCGAUACUGCGGUGCUUGAGGACUGGAGAGGAGACUGGAAUUCAUGGUGUAGCAGUGAAAUGCGCAGAUAUCAGGAGGAACACCAGCGGCGAAGGCGGCGCUCUGGGCCGGUACUGACGCUGAGGAGCGAAAGCGUGGGGAGCGAACAGG